CGCUCCCUGGUCUGUUUGCGAGCCACAACGUCCCUGAGCCGAUAAUUGAAGCAUCGGCGGCUCCUCGUUAAUACUGGCGUGCAGGUCCACCCCGUAGUGGAAAGCCCAAUGUAUUACAGCAGUCUCCACCUUGAGCCAUGGGUUCAAGGGCCUCUAUGGCCGCGGCAAACCGGGGAGUCU
rnacentral:other from 2 species